CUCAAAAUGGCGAGGAUGGAGCCCCGAUCACGUGACUCGCUGCAGGUCAUGUGACUGUGGAAAGUGACAUCAGCCAGAAACACCUGCCACCGUUUGAAGAUGACUUUAAGUGUGACAUCACAUUGCAUAGGUCCAGGCCACGGGGUUUGAUUGACAGCCCUGCAUUGCUAUAGUUUCCACCCUCAGCGGUUGUAAGCUGUCCAUUUUCUCCGCGCUCGAGCAGCUGUAACAUCAACAAUGUCUCACAAGCAAUCCCGGGGCUCUGUGUUUGGAUGUACGACUGAACAUAAGAGUCUUCAUUUUCUCCCAACAUCUGAGCUACUGAGGACGCUGUGGAUUACUUUCAUUUUUCAAGGGCACACAGAAUAAGAUUUGGUCUCCAGACUCUCCCGGCCCCGGUGAUGCACGGUUCCAGAAUGGACACAGCUGAGGCUGCGAGUGUGAUUGAGAGGGAAACAGCGAUUAGGGUUCCCAUAACCUCCUUAUUAUCCUCUCUGCCCAAACAGAGCUCUGAGACUGAUGUACUAUGUGAGGAUGACAUGAUUAUAAGACAACAAUCUGUUUCAUUUCUCUUAAUAUUUCAACAACACCAGUCCGAAGGCAAGAGAUUUUGUGUUGUGAUUUUGUCCUUUUCAUAAUGUAGUCAAGGUGAUGGACAGUUUAUUCUUAUUGGUGCACUACUCUUACAAAUAAAGUGCCGUGGUAUUACCAUAUAAG